CACUCAUCCAUUGUCUGUUUCUAUGGCUUUACCUUUUCUUCUUCUAUGACAUCUUGAAUGCUGCAGUUCAAUAUCAUUCUAGCUGUGAGUGUCCUUGUUAGUAUUACACAAGAUGUGUGAUAACCUAUAAGCUAUUUUUAAAAGGAUUAGGCAAAAAUAAGUAAGUGCAAGAGAACUGGAAAAGAAAAGACAGGAUAUAGGGAAGGGAAAAAGAAAGACCAAAAGUAGAGUGUAUAGUUGAUGUUGCUGUCCACGCUGUUUGAAAACCUUGUCUGUCACAGCGGUGAGCAGACCCAUGGCGCUGAUUGGAAACUUUGGUUCACUGUAUAUCUUCAGAGAAAGAAAUAUAAAAGGAGAAACCAGUGGACUUGUACUCCUUGUAAGAAAUGGAACCCUCGGUUAGCAGGGCUUCCCUGGCGUUUCAAACCAUUCUAAGAAGAAAAAAAAAAUUAAAAGUGACUCCGUGGACAGAUUUUCCUUUCUUCAGGGUAAGAGCUGCAUUUCAUUACUUUAAAAAUGCUCGUUCAUUUAAACAACACUAAAUGCUUCCUGGUCUGGAUAUAUAAAAUUAUUGGAUGGCCACUGCUGGCCAUUCAUCUGAGACCCUGAUGUGCCACAGUCGAUUUUUGAGAACCGCUCUGCCACUUAAUGUGACAAACAUCCAGCCUUGCAGUUUAAGAGAUCUUUGAGAAAGGCCAUCCCCACAUGAAAUGAAUUUAACAGCAGCAAUUUGUCAUUUUGCCCUUCCUUUGCUGGGGAAAAAAAAUGCUGGUGAUUUCUUUUGACUUAAACUGGGCAUUCAAAAAGCUGUUUUUAUUAAUGAAUCAUAUUAAGCCACUAGUGAAAG
rnacentral:lncRNA from 12 species